CCAGACUCCUACGGGAGGCAGCAGUGAGGAAUAUUGGUCAAUGGGCGGGAGCCUGAACCAGCCAAGCCGCGUGAAGGAAGAAGGCGCCAAGCGUCGUAAACUUCUUUUGUCGGGGAACAAAGGGCGCCACGUGUGGCGUUGUGAGUGUACCCGAAGAAAAAGCAUCGGCUAACUCCGUGCCAGCAGCCGCGGUAAUACGGAGGAUGCGAGCGUUAUCCGGAUUUAUUGGGUUUAAAGGGUGCGUAGGCGGUCCGGAAAGUCAGCGGUAAAAGCCCGGGGCUCAACCCCGGCGGGCCGUUGAAACUGGCAGUCUCGAGUUGGAGAGAAGUAUGCGGAAUGCGCGGUGUAGCGGUGAAAUGCAUAGAUAUCGCGCAGAACUCCGAUUGCGAAGGCAGCAUGCCGGCUCCACACUGACGCUGAGGCACGAAAGCGUGGGUAUCGAACAGGAUUAGAUACCCUAGUAUC
rnacentral:rRNA from 1 species